AUUUUGACCCUGCUAACAUCUAACGCUGAUUGUUUGUCUCUGCUUUCAUUCAUACUCACGCUCACACACACAGAUCUCUGGAGAGUGAUAACGAGAAGUGCUCCAUCAGUCAGCAGUCAGUCUGCGAGAGCAAGCGCAGCAGCAACGACAGUCUAGCUGACUACGGAGACAGUGUCGACAUCCAGUUUAACGAGGACGGCUCUUUCAUCGGCCAGUACAGCGGACGCAAAGAUCCGAACAGUCACGGCACUCACGGCAGCUCAGGCACCACAUCUCCCAUCAAUCCCAAUAUGCCUCCGCCCAGCAUCAGCUUUCCCACAUCUGUGACAGGAUUCCUGGGGCCAAACUAACACUCCACCUCCACACGCACACAUCCUUGACCAUCUGAAUGAAGGGCCCUGAUGGUAUUAGACAGGAUAUUGAUUUCAGGAUAGACAGUCGUUACUAUAUGAUGCAAGAAAUGACAUCUGCAAACACCGCCAGCUUCACUCUAGCAUUAUAAUGACACACGUGCAUCCGACAGACACAAAUAAUGUGCAGGACAGUUGCUUCUAACAUUCCAUCCAAGCACUGAAAACUGUUUACAAUUUUCACUUCGCUGCUUCAAGUGAUGUUUGGAUUGUAAAUUCUCCCUCAUUGGAAGUUUUUCCAGUUCUCUCGCUGAAAUUAUGCAGAAGGUGUGAUAGAUAACAGACACAAGCAGGGAAAAGGCACGAAUACAACUGUUUGAGAGUGUAGGGCAGACUUGGGCCUUGUUCACGUGGCACACAAAUCUGAUUGUUUUGAACAUGGGAUCUGUAGGAGUGACUGCCUGCAUCAAUUUUAACGGUCAGUAGAACUGAGGCUGAUUCUUUAGACGGUGUAGUCAGUAUUUCAGUCAGUACAGGCUAAGAUGCAUUUCCAGAAUUUUUUUUUAACUGUUCAGACUAAACCAAAACAAAGCGAUUUUGCUGCCUCUCUGAACAAUGCCUUAUGUCGAAUACAUCAGCUGAAAUCACUGCAGUCAACAGAAGUCAGGUCUGAAAGGCUGAAAAGCGAAAAUCUUUUUCUAUUCAUUAUGGUUUGAAGGCAUUCUUUUCCCAUUCAUGAUUACAAAUCAUUACAUUUAUUUGAAGUAUUGUUUUUGAAUUAUUCUUUUACUUAAGUUCUUACAUUUUUUAAAUAUAUUUAAUACAUGUAUAUAUGUAUUUUUUCCAUAAAGGCGAAUAUAUUUGGUUUAUAUUAUCAUAUUUUUUAUUGAUUUAUUAUUAUUUUAUUUUUUGCUUGUAAUGCAUUUAUCUUUAUGAAUUCAUGUUUUAUAAAACAGUAUGUAUGAACAUUAAUAAUCUGCCAUGUGUGUCUCUCUGUCUUAAUAAUCAAAGUUCAGGGCUUUUAACCGUGUAUCGUUUGUAUUGUUGCCCAAGUAAGUUUUUAAAAUAAUGGUGUUUUUGAUGCAAUUUAUUACGUUAAAUCCCUUUGAAGUACAUACAGCCGCUGCACUAAAGCCAAAUUUUGUGAUCUUGACACUAACAUAUAUUUUUAAAAGAAAAAAGAAAAAAAAACAGCAAGAGAAACUGAUUUCCUGCAGCAAAUAACAGCAUGAGAUGUAGUGCUAGGCUAGUUGAUGUAGUGUGAGGCUGUGCCUGUUGUUCUGCUGUAACGCUGAGGCCAAACCCCGGCCGGCAGAGUCGGAGAACUGCUGUGCUCCAGUGUCUGUGUCAUCCAUCCGUCAGCUUGCAAAUAUUAACACUCAAACAUUGCUAAUUAUGUACAGUGAAUUAUUACUAACAAUAACAGUCAUACAGUAUAAUCUAUCACACAUUUGUCUCGUGUCAUCAAUUGUUCUUUAUGAUGUGGGCAUUUGUUGAAUUGAUGUAGUUGGGCUGUUCCUGUCUGAAGGAAAUAGCCUUGAACAAUAUUACGAGCCGAUGGCAGCGAAUAGACACAAACUACAGAACAAACUGAUGGUUCAUAUUCUGAAUAUGUCAUUUUUUACAACUUUUAUUUAGUAUGUUUUCACAUUUAACAUAUUUAUUAUUAGAUUUAGUGGUAUUAUUACACUUAAUCUGAUCUUUAGUUUAGAAAACAGGUCAGAAGAAAAAUUAAACUUCUGAAUGACUAUAUUGUUGUGAAUUUCAUUAAAUGCAUUGGGGGGGGUGGGGGGGAGCAGUGAUGAUGUCAUGAUGGGCCUGCAGUUUAAUGACAUCAUCACCUCUCAACCAGCCCGCCUGAAGACUGUAGAGCGAGACAUUUGUGACGUUUUAUAAUGGAAUGAGUAGAAAGAUCUUCAGACAGUAAUUACGGCUUUGAGUUUAAUCAUGUGUCUUCUCUCGCAUACGCCACAGCAUCCUGAAUUGUACUGAUCAAAGUCAUGCUGCGAACGACUGGUUAAAAUCAAGUUAAAUACUAAGAAUAUUUACAACAAAUGUAUGUAAGAGUAUGUAGCCUGUGUACGCAUUAAAAUCUAUUUUCCUACAAAAAGGACUUGAGUUAAACGGGUGGAAUUGCAGUGCAUGGCUUUAUACGAUAAGCUGUGAAAGACCUAAAGCACGUCGCCAUCCCUCCCGGCUAUGUGGGAUAUCUCCAUAUUGUAUGUAAGCUUCUUCUUACCUCUGCUUUCUAUUUGUAAAUCAAAACACUAAAAUGAGAAUAAAAAUCUAGUCAGAGUGGUAUUUCAAAGCAUCACAGCCUUUGUGAAUGAUCUCUGAACUCUGCUGAGAGACAACGGUCGUGAUGGAUGCAGUGGGAAUGUGACGAGUCGAGCGCCGCAGUGCUACCAUGUGCUGUAUCCAAAUACAACUAAAUAAAAUGACAUUGAUUA